UCAAACGUACCCUGAUUCUCCUUGGGAGGUCUCACGACGUAAUAGCGGCGCCCGACUUUCCGAACCGUGGUACCCUGUAACGUCCUGGGACUUCCUGCGGGGAUCUCUCGA
rnacentral:pre_miRNA from 1 species